rnacentral:rRNA from 1 species
UCACGUGAAGAAGCUACUACGGGCACACGGUGGAUGCCUGGGCGUCAAGCGCCGAUGAAGGGCGUGGUACACUGCGAUAAGCCUCGGGGAGCCGUGUGCAGGCUGUGAUCCGGGGAUACCCGAAUGGGGAAACCCGCUCCGGUGAAUGCCGGAGCACCGCCGCAAGGCGGGGGGCACCGCGCGAACUGAAACAUCUCAGUAGCGCGAGGAAAAGAGAUCAUUCCCCUAGUAGUGGCGAGCGAACGGGGAACAGCCCAAACUCCAGUGACUGAGUGGCCUGCCGGCCUAUGUCACUGGGGGGUAGGCAGACACGACCGAGGAGCGGCAGCGUCCUCAAGGAGUGACCAAGAGGAAAUCUAGCCGAACGGUCUGGAAAGUCCGGCCAUAGAAGGUGAAAGCCCUGUAGGCGAAAGGUUUCCUCCUCCUGUCGUGAUCUGGAGUACCGCGGGGCACGCUAAUCCUGCGGGAAGCAGGGAGGCCCACCUCCCAAGGCUAAAUACGCUUGACGACCGAUAGUGGACAAGUACCGUGAGGGAAAGGUGAAAAGAACCCCAGUGCGGGGAGUGAAAUAGAACCUGAAACCGUGUGCUCACAAACAGUCCAAGGGCUAUGCCAGGUUGCCAUCCCUCAUCAUGCUCCGGGCCCACACCUCCCGCUGCCUUCGGGCGGCAGGAGCACCCGGCCUGGGGUUGGAGGGGUCCCCUGGCACGCCUGAGGGCGUGCCUCUUGGAGAAUGAGCCGGCGAGUUACUCUCUGUGGCGUGGUUAAGGGAGUCACACCCGGAGCCGGAGCGAAAGCGAGUCUGAAGAGGGCGCUGGUCGCAGGGAGUAGACACGAAACCUGGUGAGCUACCCAUGGCCAGGGUGAAGCGCGAUUAACCUCGCGUGGAGGCCCGAACC